rfam:TPA: Bos taurus chromosome 6, whole genome shotgun sequence.
UCCCACGUAGCUCAGUCGGUAAAGCAUCUGCCUGUAAUGUAGGAGACCUGAGUUUAAUUCCUGGGUUGGGAA